UACAGAGGGGGCAAGCGUUGUUCGGAAUUACUGGGCGUAAAGGGCGCGUAGGCGGCCUUCUCAGUCGAACGUGAAAUCCCCGGGCUCAACCCGGGAACUGCGUCCGAUACUGGAAGGCUUGAAUCCGGGAGAGGGAUGCGGAAUUCCAGGUGUAGCGGUGAAAUGCGUAGAUAUCUGGAGGAACACCGGUGGCGAAGGCGGCGUCCUGGACCAACACUGACACUGAGGAGCGAAAGCCAGGGGAGCAAACGGG
rnacentral:rRNA from 1 species